rnacentral:rRNA from 1 species
GACGAACGCUGGCGGCGUGCUUAACACAUGCAAGUCGAACGGAAAGGCCCUGCUUUUGUGGGGUGCUCGAGUGGCGAACGGGUGAGUAACACGUGAGUAACCUGCCCUUGACUUUGGGAUAACUUCAGGAAACUGGGGCUAAUACCGGAUAGGAGCUCCUGCUGCAUGGUGGGGGUUGGAAAGUUUCGGCGGUUGGGGAUGGACUCGCGGCUUAUCAGCUUGUUGGUGGGGUAGUGGCUUACCAAGGCUUUGACGGGUAGCCGGCCUGAGAGGGUGACCGGCCACAUGGGGACUGAGAUACGGCCCAGACUCCUACGGGAGGCAGCAGUGGGGAAUAUUGCACAAUGGGCGGAAGCCUGAUGCAGUAACGCCGCGUGCGGGAUGACGGCCUUCGGGUUGUAAACCGCUUUCGCCUGUGACGAAGCGUGAGUGACGGUAAUGGGUAAAGAAGCACCGGCUAACUACGUG